GUGAGGUGUCAGUCUGCCUUUACUGGGU
rnacentral:piRNA from 1 species